CCGAGCAGCACCCGCAGAGCGGGGCCGACCGGCCAGAGGAAAACGGACAGAACGAAGCGACCGCGCAUAACUAGCCAUCGUGUCGUCCUUCUCACUGCAGUAACGAGUGACGAAGACAAAAACACGCUUCAGCAUCAAGCAAUGAGUAUUAUUAGGACCCCCUUCAUACCAUAGACAACUGAGUUAUUGUUUGAUGCGAAGAUUUCGUGGAUGUUUUUUGACAGCUGAACUAAAGUCGUCAAAGUCGCAUUUAUUGCAUUAAAUUCGCUGCCAUCUUGUUCCGGUUUUUAACAACGGCCACGUAAUCAUUGAUUAUGUGGACGGUAACUCAGUUGUCUGCGAUAGCCUUCAAGUAUCUUUAUUUUCGCAUAAUUUUUAAAAUGAUACAUCACUGCUGUAUUUCACAAGCAACUUUUCUAAUAGACAUGGAUUCGUUCAAAAUCCAAUAAUUGCCAUACACGGUUACUAUAGAUGAUACUACAGAUAUACACAGCUAAAUAAUAUAUAGCACAGUGUCAGUGCAAUCUUGUGAAUUUAUCAUUAUAAUGGUUCAAAUCUUGACUUUCCAUGUCUAAUAUACCAGUUGGCCAAUGAAACAUGUGUUAUAUUUUCUGGAAUAUUUUAGACUGGUAAAUAAUUAUGCGAAAGGAUGAUACUAUGCAAUGAGGGGCACCCGUAUUAUUAAUGUUUUAGAAUAAUUUAUUGUGAUCGCGACUUAGUGAAAUUGAACUCUACCUCAAAAUUAUUCGCGAGACGAAGCCUUUAUGGGCGAUUCCCAAAAUAAGUGUACAUAAAUAUCCAGAAUUUAAUUUUCUGUGAUUUUUCUUCUCGUGAUUUUAAUAUGAAAUACAAGUAUCCAUUCCAUAUCGACACGUUUUAUAUGCAUUUUUUGCCGAUAUUUUAUAUACGCAAUCUGGUACCAAUAAUAAACAGACGAGUAAGAAAAACCUCAAAAUUAACUCAGAAAUAUACACUUUUUUCGGGAAAUGCCCUCACGCGUUUGCAAAUUCGUUAGAAAUUAGUGUGCGCGUAGCUAUAUAUUACCUACGUAUAUUAUAUACACGCGUUAGACGCUAUGUAUCGUGUAAAUCCGGUCUCAUGUACAUGGCUUCGCUAUGUUUACAAUUUUUUAAAUGUACCGGUUUUCACUGUCGUAUUUGUCGCAUAAGAAUUUGCGUGCUAGUACCUCUGGGUGUUGUACACGUUUUUAGUACUAUUUUAAACGUCCUAUUAUAGAUAAAAUUCGUUUUAAAAGACCAAUGAAUUAUAUUUAUUUUAAUUGCAAAGUAUAUAUAGGGAUCACGUCUUCACAAAAUGUAUUGUAUAUGGAAUUGUCGAUUGAUCAUCUUUAUAGAAUAGCCACUAGGGGCCUAUCACAUAAAAACAUAAUGUAAGUAAAAUUAUGUGUUGAAGCAUAUCAAAAACAAAAAACAAAACAACGGGUUGAACUCCGGGAGUGCCGGCAGAAGUGAAAACUCAAUGACAUUGUAACAGUUUUUCGAUCAGGUCACGUGUCCGUCUUACGUCUUACGAAUCUUACGGUCACGUGACCUGUCGCGAGUUAAACAUUUUUUCCCCAUCACAAAAAGUGCACAGCGCCGCUAAAGAAGUUUUCACUUCAAAAAUUGUGUCUCUUUGUCUGUCAAUAUUAUUUGGCGCUUACUGUCUGAUUUGAAAUCCCUUCUGUCAAAAGAGAAAUCAUGUUAGCAUAUUGUAUUGAAUAAAAUUCAUAUACAUCGACACAAAGGGCAUAAGACCGCCCCGAUAUGUGUUUAUAGCGACUUGCACAUGGGCAGGUGCAUGCAUUUAUAUAUCGAGUAACGUAAAGAUGCGUCCAGAUCUGGUGAAAGUUCGCGAAUCAUUCGCGCACCGCACGCGCGCUAUACCUCGAACUAUAACGCACUCUACCGCCUUGACAAUAGAGGCGUGUUCAAAUAUUUGUGAGCACCUUGGCCGCUCCGAUAUAUCUGAUAACGACUAAGAUCUGGACGGAUCGGUCAAGGCACCUCGUGGCUAGCCUAGUAGCACUCUGUGUUAGUACUGUGGAAUGAAGUGUUUAUAUGAUAGAGCAAAAAGUUAAUUGUAUUAGAGACUAAAGUCUAAAAAAGUGCUUUCUAGUUUGACAGCUGAUGAUGGCGUACCUAUGAGAGUACACGUUUUCUCUCGCUAAUAAUGUAUAAUGAAUUUUGGUAUGUGUAUAGUUAAUUUUGUUGGAAUGGCCAGGCGUGGCUCACUCCGCGAUUUCGUCGCUUUGCUACAAGUAGCUAAAAGUACAUCCGUUCGACCCCAAUUUUGGGGUUUGCCAUAAGCCGCGCGUGGCGCUGUCGCCACCUAGCGGCCAUAUCUGUGCUGAUCGUGACAGACGCGUUUUGUUAGAGAGUGAGUCUUCUGUACUUAGUACUAUUAUUUAUUCUGUGGAAUGGCUUUGACUUUGGUAAAGGUCCUAGAGAGUGCCAUUUCGCUAACAUAAUUAUAACUGAAUUGUCAAAAGUCAACUUCAAUGUUACCGCUUAAUGUCCGCACAGCUUCAUUAGCUGUUAAAUUGGAAGCACGAAUUUAUAUUUAGACUACACAUCCACUACACGCCAUCAGAUAUAUAACAGCGGCCAAGCUCAUAAUAUCUGAACACGCCUCUACAUAUUGUCAAGGUGCAUGUUCAGAUAUUUUUGAGCACCUCGGCCGCUCCGAUAUAUCUGAUGGCGGCUGUCCAAUCAAUGAAUCUUUAAUAGAGGUAUGGCAUGCGUCAAAAGACAUUAAUUAAGUUAAUUUCCAGUUUAUUGUAUAUUAUAAGAGGCGGGUGGUGGGACGGAGCUCCACGGAGCGGCAUUUUUUUCUGUUUAACUGAAUAAACUGCAUUUAACAGCAUUACUAAA